rnacentral:misc_RNA from 1 species
UCCGAGUUGACCCCGGCAGUCUCCUAUGAGUCCCCGGCAUGACCCGCUGGCAACAUAGGACGAGGGUUGCGCUCGUUGCGGGACUUAACCCAACAUUUCACGACACGAGCUGACGACAACCAUGCACCACCUGUGCACGGCCCUUACGGACCCACCAUCUCUGGAGGAUUUCCGUGCAUGUCAAGCCUAGGUAAGGUUCUUCGCGUUGCGUCGAAUUAAGCCACAUGCUCCGCUGCUUGUGCGGGCCCCCGUCAAUUCCUUUGAGUUUUAGCCUUGCGGCCGUACUCCCCAGGCGGGGUACUUAAUGCGUUAGCGCCGGCACGGGAGGAGUCGACACCUCCCACACCUAGUGCCCAUCGUUUACGGCGUGGACUAC